AUUCACCAAAUGUCCAAUUACAUAUCCUCCCUGCCUGGACCUUCAGAACAAUAUAAAACUGAAUGAAGGCUAUGAAAGAAGUCACAGGAGGAUUUUUGCAGAGCUUCCAUCCAGUUCAGAAACAAAGCAAUUCAAUACAUGUCUUCAAGAUUUCUAAAGGCAAUGACUUAAUUCUAAGUUCCAUGAAAGCAGGCAUUGUGUGAAUUUCUCCUGCAUCUGGAACUGGCCUAGCACACCAAUAGAACCAUGGAGAAUUGCCAAGAUUGCUGACUAGAUGUGGCCAGGAGAAAUAUCUCCCACUGAGAGACUGGGACAUUGGAAAGACUAUAACACACCUCUGAGUAGAUCUUCUGAUGGAAGACAUUAAGAGUGGAUGCAGAGAGGAUGCAGAUGCUGGGCUGAAGAGAGAGGAAGCUGGAAACCCUGCAUAGUGUGGCUGAGCCUCAGGACUUGUACCUGGCCCUCAGAGACUCCUGGGGGAAGGGUGAGUUUACAGGUGAGGAGUGGCCUGCUCUCACCAUGGACCCAUUCUGGUAGGUCCCUCAACCUCUAUGGGCAUCUGAGAUGGUAGGAAAAGCUGCUCAGAGAGGUCAUAUGGGCAGGACUCCAGCCUAUGCAGAGCCCAGAGUGGUGGGAGAACAGCUGCAGUGAAGCACAUCCAGGGACGGCCAUCCUCCAAGGCUCACUGUGCUUCUCCAGGAUACUUUAGCCUCAAUAUGACUGUUAGAGCUAGACAAAGCAGGGCAGUCUUGCUCGUGGGAUGCGGCCUGAUGCCUGAUCUGAUGCUCUGUUACCUGCUGGCCUCUCUUGGGGAGCCAGUCUGGUCGUGCUUGCUUGAAGUGCAGCCUUGGAUACCCAACAGGGGUGCUUCUAGGAACCCUCAUCAUAGCUCCUUCAAUGGCAGACUUAGCUCCUUCAAUGGCAGACUGUGCCUGAUUAUCAGAGAACUCCAGCAGACCAGGCCCCACUUACAUGAACCAGCCCACGCACAGCUUCACCCUAUCACAGCCCUCCCGUAAUGCUUUACUGACAUGCAUUUGCUCAUGGCCAUUCUCCAUCGCUGUGCUUGUAUGAGUCCACCUUGUUGCUUCCCCCUGCCAUUAACAUGCAGGUUCACUCCUGUGCCAGCACUAAUGUGUGCACAGAUGCUGGCAACACUGUUCUCCCCCCAACCCCUGCUACCACCGCCACCAAUGCUGCCGGUGUGAAUGCAUACAUGGACACCAGCAACUCCAUCUCUGCUAGUGUACUGCCCUUGCUGUGCUGUCAUCACUGGCAUAAACAUGUGCAGGAACACCACCUCCCUGCUCCCACAGUUGCUCUGUGCAAGCCAACAUGUGUGCACCUUGCCACAUUGCUGUGGCUGCUGGUAUGCAUGAGCCAGCAUGGAUCCCACUGCCACUACUCCAGUGACAUGCUUUGACCAGCACCCCUCCCCAUCAGAGUGUGGUGGCCAGUGGACAAGAACACCUCAGUCUCUCCAGUGCAGCAGCUUCCUAACCUUGAGGGGCCAGAGAACAAGGCUGGGGGCCCAGUACCAGCCUCCCAGAGUUAAAACAUGCAGCCCAGCAGUGUAGAGCUGAGCCUUGGCUUUCUAAAAUCUUCCAGAAAUAAAUGAAGCCAGUUGACUGAACCCAUCAUAUGCCACAAUCUAACUCCCAGGGCAUCAAAGAAGAUAAAAGCCAAAAUCCCCAUCCAAAGGACAGUAAUAUCAAAGAUGAGAAAGAACCAGUGCAAAAAACUCUGGCAAUUCAAAAAGCCAGAGUGUCUUUUUACCUCCAAACGAUCACUCCAUUUCCUCAGUGGUGGUUCUUAACUAGGCUGAAAAGACAGAAAUGACAGAUAUAGACUUCAGAAUAUGGAUAGGAAAGAUGAUCAAGAUUUGGGAGAAGAUUGAAACCCAAUCCUAGGAAGCUAAGGAAUACAAUAAUGCAAUACAGGAGCUGAAAGAUGAAAUGGCCAUUUUAAGAAAGAACCAAACUGAUGUGAUAGAGUGACAGAGCUGAAAAACUCACUUUGAGAAUUUCACAAUACAAUUGCAAGUAUUAACAGCAGAGUAGACCAUGCUGACGAAGGACUCUCAGAUCUUGAAGACCAGUUCUCCAAAGUUAACUUGGUCAGACAAAAAUAAAGAAAAAAGGAUAUAAAAAGAAUAAACAAAACCUCCAAGAAACAUGAGAUUAUGUAAAGAGAUCAAAUUUCUGAUGCAUUGGCAUCCUUGAAAAUGAGGGAGAGAAAGCACGCAACUUAGAAAACAUAUUUCAAGAUAUUGUCAAUGAAAAAUUCCCCAACCUCGCUAGAGAGUCCAAUAUUCAAAUCCAGGAAAUGAAGAGAACGCCUGCAAGAUAUUAUACAAGAUGAUCAUUCCUAAGACACAGAGUCACCUGAUUCUCUGAGGUUGAAAUGAAAGAAAAAAUGUUAAAGGCAGCUAAAGAGAAGGGACAGGUUGCUUACAAAGGCAACCCCAUCAAGCUAACAGCAGACCUUUCAGCAGAAAUCCUACAAGCCAGAAGAGACUGGGGGCUUAGAUUCAGUAUUUUUAAAGAAAAUAAAAUCCAAAUAAGAAUUUUGUAUUCAGCCAAACUAAGCUUCAUAAGCAAAGGAGAAAUAAGAUCCUUUUCAGAUAAGCAAAUACUGAAAGAAUUACCAUCAGAUAUGCCUUACAUGAGGUUGUGAAGGGAGUACAAAACAUGGAAAGGAAAGAUCAUUAUCAGCAACCACAAAAACACACUUAAGUACAUAGACCAUUGAUACUAUAAAGCAACUACACAUCAAGUAUGUAUAAUACCAGCUAAAAACAUGAUGACAGGAUUAAAUCUGCACUAUCAAUAUUAACCUUAAAUGGCAAUGGGCUAAAUGCAUCAAUUAAAAGGCACAACAUCGCAAGCUGGAUAAAGAAGCAAAAUUCAUUUGUGUGCUGUCUUCAAGAGAUCCAUCUCACAUGAAACAACAUGGAUAGGCUCAAAAUAAAGAGAUAGAGAAAAUCAACCAAGCAAACGAGAAACACACAACCAUAAAAAAGAAUGUAUUCAUGUCCUUUGUGGUGACAUGGUUGGUGCUGGAGGUCAUAAUCCUGAGCAAACUAAUCAGGACAGAAAACCAAAUACUGCAUGUUGUCACUUAUAAGUGGAAGCUAAACACUGAAUACACAUGGACACAAAGAAGAAAAUAACAGACCCUGAGGCCUACUUGAGAAUGGGAGGAGAGUGAGGAUUGAAAAACUAUCUAUUGAGCACUAUGCUUAUUACCUUGGUGAAAAAAUAAUCUGUGCAGCAAAUCCCUGUAACAUGCAAUUUACCUAUAAUAAGCCUGUGCAUGUACCUCUGAACCUAAAAUGAAAGUUACAAAAAGAAAAAAAAAGAAACUAUACAAAAUAUAUUUGUAGGAAAAAUGAGUAAAGUGAAUUCAGUGUUAAACUCUUUGAUGAUUAUUAUUAAAAUUAUGUAAAUCUAUGUAAUUU
ensembl:lncRNA novel transcript, antisense to KCNMB2